GCUUUAUGUAGCGUGGGGCGUCACAACUAGGGGGAGAUGCUGGGCAGCUGGGUGUCCUGUGCUUCUCCCUGGGUGCUCUUUGGAAACUCUGCAGAGGGCUGAAGUUGUUUCUGUAGGGAUCUGUGCACUAGGGUGUGAAGACGCGUCCUUACCAAAGAGUGGGCCAGUUCCCGGGAAGUUCCCAGGAAAUGAAGUUUGAACAGGCUGAAUAGAUGAAGCAGUUCUGGGGAUCAAAACCAGGACCUGGAGCUUGCUACACACUCAUUUUACCACUGAACUACAUCCCUAGUAAAUGUAGUUUUUGUUUCUCUGUUUGUUUGGUUUUGGUAUUGAUACGGGGCCACAUUAUGUAACUUAGGCUGGCUUUGACUUGACUCUAUAAUUCAAACUGACCUCAGACUCUCAAUUCUCAUGUCUCUGUGUCUAGCAUCCAUAGUGCUGGGAUUAUAAGCAUACAUCACCACCCCAGCCGCAGAAUGGCUAUAAGUGGAAGUCUGGGGAAAACAUCACCAAGAUAUAGAGCUUCCUAGUGAAGACAGUCAACAUUCAUUUUGCCUCUACUUCAAAUUCUACUAAAACCACAAUGGCAUUGGCAGUCAAGACCUGGAGAAUCUUCUAUGAGAACAAUGGCUAAUUCUAGAGAAAUUAUAGAAUUAUCUGAUGUCCAAAAAUCCCUAAACUAAUGCCCAGCCAGAUCACUUUACAGCAGUAGUUCUCAAUUGGGCUCAAUCUUGACUUCUCCCCUUACAUUAGAUGCUUCUGACAAUGUCUACAGACAUUUGUGGUUGUUACAACUAGAGAGCUGCUACUGAAAUUGUUGGGUAGAAGCUGAGGAUGCUACUAACUACUCUGCAGUGCCUAUGUCAGAACCCCUUCGUUCCUUGGAACUAAAAAUUUAUCUGGUCCCAAACAUCACUAAGGGCAGAGUCUGAGAAAUCCUGAUUUAGAGUAAAGCUCACAGUUUGCAAGCCAGCCCCAGUCAGGCUUGAAGUCUACCUGAUGACUUUAUAUCCAUACACAGGUGCCAAGGAUCCAAGUGCAACCGAACAUGACUAGCAAUAAUCAGAUACAUACAGAUUAGAGAUGCAUGCG